UUAAGCCAUGCGAGUCGAGAGGUGUAAGACCUCGGCAUACUGCUCAGUAACACGUGGACAACCUACCCUGAAGAGAGGGAUAACCCCGGGAAACUGGGGAUAAUACCUCAUAGACUAUGGAUGCUGGAAUGCUCUGUAGUUCAAAGGUCCGCCGCUUCAGGAUGGGUCUGCGGCCGAUUAGGUUGUUGUUGGGGUAACGGCCCAACAAGCCUGUAAUCGGUACGGGUUGUGGGAGCAAGAGCCCGGAGAUGGAUUCUGAGACACGAAUCCAGGCCCUACGGGGCGCAGCAGGCGCGAAAACUUUACAAUGCGAGCAAUCGUGAUAAGGGAACCCCGAGUGCCUGUAAAAUCAGGCUGUCCGCCAGUUUAAAUAACUGGUGAAGAAAGGGCCGGGCAAGACCGGUGCCAGCCGCCGCGGUAAUACCGGCGGCUCGAGUGGUGGCCACUAUUACUGGGCUUAAAGCGUUCGUAGCUGGUCUGUUAAGUCUCUGGGGAAAUCUUCCGGCUUAACCGGAAGGCGUCUCAGGGAUACUGGCAGACUAGGGACCGGAAGAGGUGAGAGGUACUCCAGGGGUAGGAGUGAAAUCCUGUAAUCCUUGGGGGACCACCUGUGGCGAAGGCGUCUCACCAGGACGGCUCCGACAGUGAGGAACGAAAGCUGGGGGAGCAAACCGGAUUAGAUACCCGGGUAGUCCCAGCUGUAAACGAUGCACGUUAGGUGUAUCGGUGACCACGAGUCACCGAGGUGCCGAAGAGAAAUCGUGAAACGUGCCGCCUGGGAAGUACGGUCGCAAGGCUGAAACUUAAAGGAAUUGGCGGGGGAGCAC
rnacentral:rRNA from 1 species